UGUGUGUAUGUGUAUGUGUGUGAGGAUGGUGUGUAUGUGUAUGUGCUGAAGUAAAUAUGACUGAACAAUAAGAAUCGUCGAUCUGGUUGUUUGGUACAUGAGUAUUCAUCUUAUUUCUUUUUCACUUUUUCUGUGCAUUUGAAAGCUUUCAUAGGAAGUCAGAAAAUGUAUCUGGUUGUUAAAACAAUAUUGUAACGUACACACACAGUCCAUUUCCAGUCCCAGAAUUGAGACAGUUAGUGCAGAGGCCACUGGCUCAGCUGUGGAAACCAGACUGCACGGUCCAUCUGCACCCAUGCUGUCUGUGAGCCCUGGGAAUGUCGCUUCCUGUCUCUGGGCCUCAGUUUCCUUCUCUAUAAAAUGGGCUGAUGCUGUUCCUGCCACAGAGGCUGGUGGGAUUCAGGCCACAUACCCCGGCACAUCAGCGUUCCGUUGUUACACAUUUGAAUACUCCCAAGCCAGUUGGUAAACAGUUGACUCUCCGGGACCCCUUGCACGUUUCCACGACUCAGCAAUCAACGUGGAGCUGAACUGGCUGUGAAGCGUUUUGAGCACUGCCCGUGUUUGUCUCACAGCCCUCACGGGAAUCCCGGUUAAUAUACUCAAUGAGCGGAGCCCUGAAAACCCCGCCUGCCACCUCGUGCAGCUGUGUCACUGGGAUGGACACAGGAAGCAAUGUGGGGUCUUUGCUGCCAGUGAGCUCCCGGUCUAGGAGAAGAGAGAGGAAGCAUCUUUAUCUGUGUUAUCCCAGUUACACUGCACAGAGGAUCUUCAGGGCAGUGAAGCUACUCUGCAUGGCACUGUCAUGGUGGAUAAGAGUCAGUGUACAUCUGUGCAGACCCAGAGGAUGAACAACACCUAGAGCGAGCCCUCGUGUAAACCACGGACUCCAGGCAAUGAAGACGUGUCCAUGUGGGUUCACCAAUGGUAACAAAUGCACCACACUUGCUGGUGGGGGGUGGCUAUGCGUGCAGGGGAGAGGGGACAGGCAGCGAAUGGCAGGUGUCUGUACCUUCUGUGCAUUUUACUGUGAGCCAAAAACUGCUCUAAAAAAAUUGUCUACUUUUAAGUUCUGAUGGGUUCUCUGGCUUCAGGGAGUUGCCAUUUUGGAUCCUGAAGAAUAAAGAGAUAGGCUCAUUUGCAUGAGGUAGGCAGAGUCAAGUUGGAGGUUGAACUACGUGCUGGGACUGAGGCCAUCAGACUCUGGAGGGAGGAGGGGAGCAUAGCUGCUGUCUUGCUGACAGCUUCAUGGGGAAGCUGGGGUCUGAGUUAGGAUGAGUGUCUUAGUCCAUUUGUUUUGCUAUCAAGGACUACCUGAAGCUGAGUAAUUUAUAAAGAAAAGAGGUGUGUUUGGCUCACCUCUCUGCAGCCUUCACAGGGAGCAUGGUGCCAGCAUCUGCGACUGGUGAGGCCUCCGAAAUAUUAGAAAUUGGCCGGGCGCAGUGGCUCAUGCCUGUAAUCCUAGCACUUUGGGAGGUUGAGGGGGGCGGAUCACCUGAGGUCAGGAGAUCGAGACCAGCCUUCCCAACAUUGGUGAAACCCCGCCUCUAUUAAAAAUACAAAAAUUAGCUGGGCGUAAUGGCAGGCACAUGUAAU
rnacentral:lncRNA from 1 species